GACACGGUCCAGACUCCUACGGGAGGCAGCAGUAGGGAAUAUUGCUCAAUGGGGGAAACCCUGAAGCAGCAACGCCGCGUGGAGGAUGAAGGUUUUAGGAUUGUAAACUCCUUUUGUUAGAGAAGAUAAUGACGGUAUCUAACGAAUAAGCACCGGCUAACUCCGUGCCAGCAGCCGCGGUAAUACGGAGGGUGCAAGCGUUACUCGGAAUCACUGGGCGUAAAGAGCGCGUAGGCGGGAUAGUCAGUCAGGUGUGAAAUCCUAUGGCUUAACCAUAGAACUGCAUUUGAAACUACUAUUCUAGAGUGUGGGAGAGGUAGGUGG
rnacentral:rRNA from 1 species